GUCACUUUGGUCUAGUGGCAGGACUUCACAUUGUGGCUGUGACGGCGAGUGUUCGAUUCACUCAAGUGACA